UACGGAGGGGGCUAGCGUUGUUCGGAAUUACUGGGCGUAAAGCGCACGUAGGCGGCUUUGUAAGUUAGAGGUGAAAGCCUGGUGCUCAACACCAGAACUGCCUUUAAGACUGCAUCGCUUGAACACGGGAGAGGUGAGUGGAAUUCCGAGUGUAGAGGUGAAAUUCGUAGAUAUUCGGAAGAACACCAGUGGCGAAGGCGGCUCACUGGACCGUUGUUGACGCUGAGGUGCGAAAGCGUGGGGAGCAAACGGG
rnacentral:rRNA from 1 species